AGCAGCCGCGGUAAUUCCAGCUCCAAUAGCGUAUAUUAAAGUUGUUGCAGUUAAAAAGCUCGUAGUUGAAUUUCGGGGUUAGUAGGCUGGUCAUGCCACCGGUAUGUACUGGUCUUUCUGAUUCCUCCUUCCUGAUGAACUGUAAUGCCAUUAAUUUGGUGUUGCAGGGAAUCUGGACUGUUACUUUGAAAAAAUUAGAGUGUUUAAAGCAGGCUAACGCUUGAAUACAUUAGCAUGGAAUAAUGAAAUAGGACGUUCGAUCCUAUUUUGUUGGUUUCUAGGAUUGACGUAAUGAUUAAUAGGGAUAGUUGGGGGCAUUAGUAUUCAAUUGUCAGAGGUGAAAUUCUUGGAUUUAUUGAAGACUAACUACUGCGAAAGCAUUUGCCAAGGAUGUUUUCAUUAAUCAAGAACGAAAGUUAGGGGAUCGAAGACGAUCAGAUACCGUCGUAGUCUUAACCAUAAACUAUGCCGACUAGGGAUCGGAUGAUGUUAAUUUUUUAAUGACUCA
rnacentral:rRNA from 2 species